rnacentral:lncRNA from 1 species
GCUUUUGAAGAAGAGACUGAGCAUCUGAGAACAAAAUGUCUCCUGCAUCCAGUCAUAAUCAUUCACUGCCAGACCUAUAUGUUCCUGUGAGGUCUCCCCAGCUAACUCACCAAUAAUUCCAUGUAUGGAAGGAAGACAGAUAAGGGUAACUGGAUUUGGUUCACUGUUUCUUUUGCCGCUUCUGUUAAUUUGGAGAGACAUAUGCGACUUUGUGCUUCACUAGAGGAGUACAGACUUCAUGAGGGUCUGACCCGGCUCCACCCAGUUGAUCCAGGUGAACAAGGUGUCUGUUCAGCGGAGCCCAGAGACCUCGUAAGGUUUGUGGAUUCAUGUUGUACAUUAAGUUAUAGGUUUAAAACUCACUGUUCAUUAGCCACCUUCUAGACCCGAAAGAACGCUGCCACAGGAUGCUGAGUUGGAAAAGUGGUAGUAAAAUGUCAUAGUACAUGCCCCACACUUUAAUGGAAAAAAGAAAGGUUUUAAUGCUUGCUGCCUAUUUUUUGUUGUUGUUCAUUGGACAAAAAAAGGUGAACGCUCCUAGGCCAGCACAUGAUAAAAUCAGGUUUCCUCAUUUCCUUCAAUAUUAGAUCAUGAUGAGAAAAUAUUCUGUUACCUGUUCUCUUUAUAAAUAGUGGAGUUCUAACAGUCAUGUACUUUAAUCUCUUUUAAAGUCCCCAGCAACAUAUAUAAGUGGUGCCCUUUGACCCAGAUCCCAGUAUGCGUACCUCAUAAAUCAUUUUUUUCAGACGUAUGUGUUUUUACUUUUAUUUUAUUUUUAAAUUAAAUUUUUAAUUCCAGUGCAGUUAACAUACUAUGUUAUAUUACUUUCAGGUGUACAAUACAGUGAUUCAACAAUUCUAUACAUCACCUUGUGCUCACCAUGACGAGUGCACUCCUUAAUCCCCAUCACCUAUUUCCCCCAUCCCCCACCUACCUUUCCCCUGGUAGCCAUGUUUGUUCUCUCUAGUUAAGAGUCUGUUUCUUGGUUUGUGUCUCUUUUUUUUUUUCUUUGCUCAUUUAUUUUGUUUCUUCAAAUUCCACAAAUGAGUGAAAUCAUAUGGUAUUUGCCUUUGUCUCAUUUGUUUCUCUUAGCAUUAUACUCUCUAGCUCCAUCCAUGUUGUUGUAAAUGUCAAGAUUUCAUUCUUUUUAAUGACUGAAUAGUAUUCAAUAGUGUGUGUAUAUAUAUGUAUAUAUACAUAUAUAUACAUACACCACAUCUUCUUUAUCUAUUCAUCUUUUGGUGGACACUUGGGCUGCUUUCACAAUUUGGCUAUUAUAAAUAAUGCUGCAAUAAACAGAGGGGUGCAUGUAUCCCUUUGAAUUAG